rnacentral:lncRNA from 1 species
GAACACACAUAACCCAAUCACUUACGAGAGAGUCCCUUAUUUUUGUAAGGGUAUAAUCGUCUUUGCAGCAUCUGUCUUCAACCUCUUUCUCACACACUCAGAGUCUCUGACCUUUCUCUCUUGACCAUAUUCGGCUGCAAUGCCCAUCUCUGGUUUCUGGAGAGCAAAGGUAGGAAUUCUUUCCGCUUGUAACAGUUUCUUCUUUAUGAAUGAAAUGCCUUCGUUGGAUUAAAAGAAUAAUUCCUAUUUCUGGUACUUGGGCCCAACUUCACAUCUGAGUUAGGGCUUUCUACUCAAGUUUUGUCUUUGUAAUCCACCUCCCAUUGCGUGUAGAGGAACGGAGAGCUCUUGUAGUUCAGGCACUUUGGCUUUUGUAGAUUCUCAGUUUGCAUUGCUAAUAGCCUCCAUGUCUUAAAGCAGCAGCAGAGACCAAAGUGUUCAAGCCAUCACAAAAGCAAAGACCAACAGUGUGCACGCCUCCCUGAUUUUCAGGUUCCGAUCUCUGUUCCCUAAUUUCAUUAUCUCACAUUACCCCCAGGGUUGGAUUUCUGUCCUCACUUGUUUUACAUACAUAGCUAGGUGAAUUAAGAUAUUACUCAUAUUAGGAGCUUAGAUAAUAACUCCAGGGAAAGAGCUUGCAUUUGAUAGCCUUCAAUUUCAAGAUUACAACUUUGAUCUUACACAAGGGAAAAUCAACACACUUUUAGAUCUUACAUUUUGUUAUUCAAACCCACAAGGCUAAUUGUUCAAAACAUGAAAGAAAGACAAGAUUACAGUGUGUAGAAACUAUAUGACUUGCCAGAAAUGGAAGAUCAUUUUGGCAAUUCGGCUUCACUAGUUGUAGGGACCUUCUCAUAUGAACCCAGCUCUCUCAACUUCUUAGGAAGAAAGCAACGACCCCCGAACUUCUGUUGCAAGAAGAUUAUCACAGCAAACAGUAGGCAUCCAAUAGGAAUGGUGACAUCCCAAGAAGUAGAGUAGAAGUCUGCGACAGGACUUGCAUAAAUGUAUGGGAUACCAUGUUCGUGAUGAACAGAGUUGUCAGUCCUGUAAAGGUCAUAAGCAUGUGGCAGAACUCGAACCGAGGUUGUCCCAAUGUAGAACCAAACAGAUAGAGCUCUUUCCUUUGAUUUGCAGACCAUGUUGAGAAGAAUUUGAGCAAACAGAAAACCAUCCAAGACCAAACCAGCAUAGGAUUUCAAGGUACCCAAAAUGGUAUGUACAUGAUUGCUAGAUUUCAUUAGAAGACCCAAAGUAACUAAAACCCCAAUGGCAUACACUGGUAAAGCCUUCUUUUCCGCAUCCCAAAGUUCAUUUUGCUUCCCAUUUGCUGAUCUUGCUGACCAACUCUGCUGCAGAAGACGGAAUUGCAGCAAGAAAGCUACCAUCGUUACUAACCUUACAAUUAUCUCAUUAACUUCAAGCCAUCCACCACUUCCCAGUAACACAUCUUGGCGGUUGGUGUUGUGAGUGAACAUGGCAUCAAAAUUUAGCAUAAGAGGUAUCAUGUAGCCAAGGGUCAGAAUUAAUAGCAUUAAGAUGGAAAUAGAGGGAAGCACAUCAGGAUGUUUUUUCACAUGGAAGAGUUGUACUGCGACAAAAACACAUGCGAGUGUUGUUGAUAUAAGAACCAAUGUGAUCUCCAUAUCCAUCCUCCAAAUGGAUCGUUCUGCUUCAAUCAGGUAAUCAGCAGCUGAAUUUAAAGCCAAUCGCUCGAAAUGAAGAGGAUCAGACUUUUUUCGUGUGCUUUCAAUGCUUACCUCAAUAUAACCUGUAUUGUUACUGUGUUGAUUUGUUGGAGGGAACUGAAAAUUGACAAGAAUCUCACAAUCUACAGAAUCUUUAGUGGUCUGUUGAUUACUGUUGAAGCCAACAUCUCGACAGCCUGUCAUGCACAGGCUUCCUUCUACAGCAUCAUAGAGCCCUUCUGCUGAAAUCUGCAUUUCCUUUGUUUGUAUUGUAUGGCCUGACUUUCCAGCAGAUUUCUCCAGCAGUUCGAUGUUUAUUCUGUAGCUAAUAUUGGUGGGGUUGCUACAGUUGUAGCUGUAUCUCAUCACAGGAAAGGAGCUCAAAGGAGCUAGAGAGUACCUUACAUCUCCAAUUGCAUUUGAAUAUUGUGUUGAAGAUAAAUACUGCUCAUAGAACUGAUUGCCAACAGAAAGAGGAUCAGAAUUUCCCCAUGCACCUUGUCCUUUAGAACUUUUUGCUGACAUAUCGAAUUUCAUGUCGUAAGAAAACGGACUUGGGUACAUGUUUCUCUUCUGAUCAUUAGCAGCAGACUUCUUUUUUGGGCACAACUUAGUUACCUGGUCUAUUUUAGUAUACACAUAUUUUGGCCCUGGAACUAGAACCCUUCCCGCCUCACUCUGACGAGUUUGAAAUGUGAUCUUGUCAAAGUAACCUGACUCAGUCUUGGAUUUGCUGCUCCAAAUAUGCCCCACGACACUACUAGUGUCUCCGAUUGUCCAUAUUGCAGGAAAUCUCAUGCUCAAUCUAGUUGAACAGUCAUCCACAUGAGAAUUGUUGAAAGAAUCUGUUACAGCCUGGAAGAAUUUACAAGCAGCAAAUUGUAUUCGACUUUUUUGUGCAUCCCAUGAGCCUUCCGCGAUGAAACUUGUAUUGGGGUUGAAAGGCCUCUGAUACCAGUUGUUGCUACUGUCUGAAAAUUCCACCAGUACUCUCAACCUUCUAGUAUACUCUGUACACUCGAUAUCCUUGAACGACAGCAGACGGGGCAAAUGAUCAGAUACGCCAAGUGGAGUGCAGUUCUUUGCAGAAACGCACUGGCUUGAAUAUUUGAGAUCAAAUUCAUACUUUAGUACUACUGUUGAGAGUUGUGAACAAAAUCUCUCCAAGUGCAAAGAACUAGGGGGAUCAUGAUCAUCAAUUCCAACAGAAGAGCUGUUAUCAUUAGAGUUAUUUGAAACCCAAGUAUACUGGUAGUUCAUCUGAGGAAGCAACAAAAUAGAAAUUGGAUCAAAAUAUUUUGCAUCCUUGAUCAUAUCAGAACCGCUGAUCAAACUCUCUAAUGUUCCAGUAAUCAAACUUGUAAUAUUAGUGGAAUUCAUGACAUUAUAGAGCUUAAGAACAGCAGGAUAAUGAAGCAUAGUUUUCCAGUAAGUGUGACCAUAACCAACCAUACAAAGCUUCCCAGAAGAUUCUGACCAGAACCCGUUGAGUCUAAAGCUAACUGACCUUUGAUAUGCUGGAUUUGAUCGAGUCCUGUAGCCUGGAUAAGGCUGGCUGCUGCUGGAGUUUCCUACAUAGUAUAACAUACUCGCCUUUUCCACAUGAAGAGUUGCUCCUAACUUGAACAAGCCUUCCACAUCAGUUGCUUCAAAAUUCCAUUUGCUGAAUUCAAUUGAAUUACGAACUUGUUGAUGGUAAAACGAUGAGUUGCCAUUAGGACUAUUGGCAGUGUCACCAGCAGUGUAGUAGUAACCUGUAUGGCUGAAGGCAAAGGGAUGAAGUCCUCGAUAUAUUUUUGAGUUUGCUUCAGGAACAACUGAAGCACAGUGAUCCGCAUAAGCGAGUUCAUCGUGUGAAACAGAGGAUGAGAUUAAAUUCAAUGAUAGGGAGGUGAAAGCAAAGAAGAUCAUGACAACUUGACAAGCUUUGGCUUUCUGAGGAUAGUCAUAGCUUCUCUGUUAGUAUUUAUGUUUUGGGAGAACGGGAGAAGAAGAACAAUAGGCAAUGCAGUUUUGAAAGGUUGUGAUGGUUCUUAUGUACUAAAGACAGUCUGAAGUACCAGGUCAACCUUCAUCCACUACUACCUAGUAUUACCACAGUCCAGAAGUUAUUACUGAUAGUUUAGAUGAAACCAAUAGACCUAUUUUUUACUUUCCCCAAGUUAAUUUCAUAACAAAAAAUUAAUCAUUUUUCAAGUCUAGUGUAAAAAACAUUUACCCCAACACAGUGAGUACAUUAACCUUUACCAAGAAGGGCUGUUGGGGACGCAGUCGGGACUGCCAUUCCUAUUUUGUUACUCACCAAGAUAAGUGUGAUUAGGGUAUAUGGAUUCCAUAAGACUCAAAGAUGAUAGCUUACACAGUAAUGAUAUUUUGUCAUAUCUUGGCCCUUGUAUUGGUUUGAACUUUAAAGAUUCCAAAGUUAUCAUAGGAUUUGUAUCAUCUGGUCAGCUGGUCUUAUCCCAAGUCAUCAUAACUUGGAAAAUGUUGGCAUGACAAUACAUCGCUAGUAGCUUUCAUUUGGACCAACUUAGGGUCAGUAGUCUAGAUUGAAAUUCUGAUAUUAUUUGUUCAAGCUUAUAAUAUGUUCAGUAGCAUAACUUCUUAUCAUCCUUUUCUUUUGUCUUAGCAUACAGAAUAAAAGUUGUUUUCCUUGCAAAUUUUCUUGUUUCUGUGAAGUAAACAGAGUGCAUAUGUUAAAAGGUAGAGUCCAAUGGCAGUUCUGACUUCUGAGCAAAGAGUAUGAAAGAAAAACAAAAUGACUAGACUUUGACUGACUCUAGUCCAAUUGGAUGAGCAGAGCAUAGAGGUUGUUGAUAUUUUCCUUCUUGUCGAUCAAUCCCAUAAACUUGUUCUGAGAAGUUUCCUUGUUUUUGGGUCCAUAACAAAGUACAUAUACCAUUGGUAACUCCGGUGCUUUAAUUAUUUCAAUGCCUCUAAAUGUAACUACAAAACAUCACCAAAGUAUUAUGCUGAAUUUGAUGCCAUAUGUAUAUAGUAAUAACCCAUGUCCAUAUUGGUAUUGGUAUUGCUGUCUCCAUCUUAGUACUAUCUUUCUCAGGAAGCUCAGCCCUGAAUGAGUUUAAAGUUGUUAUAUCAUUGCUCAUAUAUUAAUGUUUCCUAAAGCUCAACGACUACAAAAAGAAAAGAAAAGAAAGUAUACACGAAAUGGAAAAACGCAUGCUGAAUAAGAUGAACUGAUGGAUUUAUAUCCUGUUUCAUUAUCGUAUUAGUUCCUUAGUUAUGUAACUUGUAUUUUUGCAUUGCUUUUUGUUCUUGCUUUUAUUUUAUUUGAUGUAUCUUUAAAUCUUCCAGUACGGAUAUAUCCACACACAAAGACACUAACAUGAUCGCCAGUAAGCAAAACUAGCAUCUCAUAAUCUUAAUUUGUUCAACCACCUUGUGUUUGAAUUAUUCUGUUUCAUUCUAUGCUGCAGCUAUUCAAGUCCUUCAUGGUCACCAUUGCAUCUCAUUUCUUCCUGAAUCACCUUGUUCCAAUGGCAGACAAAUAAUACUACACUGGUGGUGACAGGGGCAUUGCUGAGCUCUGAUCUGCCUUUCCAGAUAAAUCAAAUUUCCAGGUACUUUUUCGAGUUUGCUUGCCUCUUUGACAGUAUACAUUAAAUAACUGGCAUAUGGAUUUUUGCUCUUCACUUUGUAUGUAUUUAUUUGCUUUAUAGCUAAGUGCAUCAAGUUUAGAAUAAAACUUGAGUAUUCAAUCAACUAAGCGCCUUCCUAAUUAGUCUUACGUUGCCACCUAAUAGUUUCAACUGACUUUGUUGCGUGAGGAUAGUUUGAUAUCAUAAACUUUUGAAAUUAGAAGGUUUCUAUUAUACGAGAUAAAAGUGGAAGUGCAUACAUUAAAGCGGAUAAAACUAAAAGGCUUAAAUCUUACAUUCUUCUUUUUCUUCAAUAUACCAAAAGCCUAGGCAUUUUAAAUAGGAAAGGAAACAAAGGGGUCCAGAUAUGAAGUCUGUCCAAUUCUGUCAUUGACUAUGAUUGAGCUUCCACUGACCAUGAAUACCAGAAAUGGAGUGCUACACUAGAAUACUAGAUUACCUUGGCAACUCAUCUUCGCUAACUGAAGGGACUUCCUCAUACAAACCCUGCUCUCUCAACUUUUUAGGAAGAAAGCAGCGACCCCCAAACUUCUGCUGCAAGAAAAUGAUCAGAGAAAACAGUAGACCUCCAAUAGGAAUAAUUACAUCCCAAGAAGUAGAGUAGAAAUCUGCAACAGGACUGGCAUAAAUGUACGACUCAUCAAGUUGUUGAUGAGAGCUGUGAGUCCUGUAAAGGUCAUAAGCAUGUGGCAGCACUCGAACCAAAGUCGUUCCAAUGUAGAACGGAAUAGACAGAGCCUUUUCCUUUGAUUUGCGGACCAAGUUGAGUAGAAUUUGAGGUAACAGAAAACCGUCCAAGACCAAACCAGCAUAAGAGUUUAAGUCCAUCGAAGCACCAAAAAAUCCAAUGAGAUACAGCGGUAAAGCCUUCUUCUCCACAUCCCAAAGCUCCUUUUGCAUCCCAUUUGCUGAUCUUGCCGACCAUGUCUGCUGCAGAAGACGGAAUUGCAACAAGAAAGCUACCAUUGUUAUAACCCUUACAAUUACCUCAUGAACUGCAAGCCAUCCACCACUUUGCAGUAACACAUCUUUGUGGUUGGUGUUGUGAGUGAACAUGGCAUCAAAGUUUAGCAUAAGAGGUAUCAUGUAGCCAAGGGUUAGAGUCAGUAGCAUCAGGAUGGAAAUUGCGGGAAGAACAUCAGGAUGUUUUUUCACAUGAAACUGUUGUAAUGCCACAAAUACACAUGCAAGAGUGGUAGAUACAAGCACCAAGAUGAUCUCCAUGUCCAUCCUCCAGAUGGACCGUUCUGCUUCAAUCAUGUAACUGGCAGCUGAUGACAAAUCCAAUCGCUCGAAAUGAAGAGGAUCAGACUUUUUUCGUGUGCUUUCAAUGCUCACCUUGAUAAAACCUGUAUUAUUACUGUGCUGAUUUUCUGGAGGGAACUGGAAAUUGAUAAGGAUGUCACAAUCUACAGAAUCCUCUGUAGUCUGGUGAUAAUUGUUUGAGCCAACAUUUCGGCAGCCUACCAUGCACAGGCUUCCUUCUGUGUCAUAUAUCCCUUCAGCAGAAAUCUGCAUAUGCGUUGACCUGUGUUUUAUGAUAUUGCUCGAAUUUUGAACAGAUCUCUCUAGCAUUUGAAUGCUUAUUCUGUAGCUAAUAUUGGUGGGGAUGCUGUGGUUGUAGCUGGAAAUCAUCAUAACAGAGCUCAAAGGAGCCAGAGAGUCAUCUUCAUCUUCAUUGAUUGCAGCUGAGUUUGUAUAUUGCGUUGAAGAAAGAAGCUCGUCGUACAACUUAUUGCCGACAGAGACAGGUUCAGAAUAUCCCCAUGCAUCUAAACCCUUGGAACUGCUAGCUGACAUAUCAAAUCUCAUUUCAUAAGAAAUAGGACUUGGGUAAGCAAUGGUCUUGUUAGGAGCGGAUUUCUUUCUUGGGCACAACUUGUUUACUUGAUCAAGUUUUGUAUACUCAUAUUUGGUGCCAGGAAUUAGAACCCUUCCAGCCUCACUCUGUUGAGUUUUGAAUGUGAUCUUUGGGAAGUAACCAGACUCCGUCUUGGAUUUGUUGCUCCAAAUAUGCCCCACAACGCUACUAGUGUUUUCGAUUGUCCAUGUUGUA